CCUACGGGCGGCAUCAGUGGGGAAUAUUGGACAAUGGGCGAAAGCCUGAUCCAGCCAUGCCGCGUGUGUGAAGAAGGCCUUCGGGUUGUAAAGCACUUUCAGUGGGGAAGAAAGCCUUGGGGCUAAUACCCUCGAGGAAGGACAUCACCCACAGAAGAAGCACCGGCUAACUCCGUGCCAGCAGCCGCGGUAAUACGGAGGGUGCGAGCGUUAAUCGGAAUUACUGGGCGUAAAGCGCGCGUAGGCGGUCUGAUAAGUCGGUUGGGAAAGCCCCGGGCUCAACCUGGGAACGGCAUCCGGAACUGUCAGGCUAGAGUGCAGGAGAGGAAGGUAGAAUUCCCGGUGUAGCGGUGAAAUGCGUAGAGAUCGGGAGGAAUACCAGUGGCGAAGGCGGCCUUCUGGACUGACACUGACGCUGAGGUGCGAAAGCGUGGGUAGCAAACAGGAUUAGAUACCCUGGUAGUC
rnacentral:rRNA from 1 species